rnacentral:misc_RNA from 1 species
UUGCUGCCUUGAAGUCUCCAUAGCUAAGGAAGAAAAGGAAGAAGAAAUAAAAUAGUGACUAAAUGGAAUAUCAUCAACCUCCUUUUGUUAAAAUAAGUAUGAUGACUUGAAUUCUUUUAGACGAAAUAUAUGAAUUAAGUAUAGCAACUUUAAAAUCAAAGAAAGAAGUUAACAAAUAAAGCCACACGAAUAGAGAGCCAUCUCAAACUUCUAUAAAUGAAAAAGGACAAAGGAAAAGGUUAGGACUUUGGAUUUAGGAAGAGGUCACAUGAAUAUCCAAUGUUUUCUGUGUCUCUAGUAUAAUAAUAAAAUUUCAUUUAGGACUAGUGGGCAUGAACCCAUCUUGAAUCCAGUACAUAUAUGUUCCGUUUUGUCAUCAAGCAUUAAAAUGUUAGGAAUUGCUUGUUUAUGGAAAUGCAUGAGAAAGAGGAAUCAAGACUCAAAAUACCGUUGGUGAGAAGUUGCAUGCAAA